AUUGAACGCUGGCGGCAUGCCUUACACAUGCAAGUCGAACGGUAACAGGUCUUCGGAUGCUGACGAGUGGCGAACGGGUGAGUGAUACAUCGGAACGUGCCUAGUAGUGGGGGAUAACUACUCGAAAGAGUGGCUAAUACCGCAUGAGAUCUACGGAUGAAAGCAGGGGAUCGCAAGACCUUGUGCUACUAGAGCGGCCGAUGGCAGAUUAGGUAGUUGGUGGGAUAAAAGCUCACCAAGCCGACGAUCUGUAGCUGGUCUGAGAGGACGAUCAGCCACACUGGGACUGAGACACGGCCCAGACUCCUACGGGAGGCAGCAGUGGGGAAUUUUGGACAAUGGGCGCAAGCCUGAUCCAGCAAUGCCGCGUGCAGGAUGAAGGCCUUCGGGUUGUAAACUGCUUUUGUACGGAACGAAAAGCCCUGGGUUAAUACCCUGGGGUCAUGACGGUACCGUAAGAAUAAGCACCGGCUAACUACGUGCCAGCCGCCGCCGUAAUAC
rnacentral:rRNA from 1 species